AUGACAUGUCACCCAGGCCCUGGUGCCACAGCAGGGGUGGCCCCCAGGCUGAGCCCGCACACGGACCUUAGCACCCUUGAAUCCAGGGGGUCCUUGUUCUCUAGAGAGCCCAGAACCUGGCUCGUCCACGGCCACCUACAAGCACAGGAUUACAGGGCAGAGCUGUGCUGUCACAGUAGCAGGAACAGGUCGUCCCAAAAGGUUGUGGGUUCCAAGUCACCGCACGGAGCUUCUGGGGCCCAAGCUCCCAGUGGCCUCUUGGUGACAGCAGUCACAGGCUUGGGCAGAGCUGGGGUGAUCACCUUGGGGCCUGGGGGUCCGGGGGGUCCAGGGAGGCCAGGAAGGCCGUCUCUGCCCUGCAGAGAAGAAGGAAAUGGGUGGCCAUCCCAGCACAGCCUGCAGCCAGUCCCGCCCGGUGAAGCCCUGCCCAGCUCACCUGUUCUCCACGUUCUCCUUUCUCUCCCCGUUCUCCCUGAAAAGCAGAUACCAAGGUGGGGGGUAUGCCCAUGGGGAGUCUGGCUCCCCCUGACCCCACUCCCCCGGCCACUCCCACCAGCCCCCAGGCUCACCCUCUCUCCGGGUCUUCCGGCCUCCCCCACACUCCCAGCUGGGCCAGGGAGCCCAGGGAUACCAGGCUUCCCAGGCUCCCCGGCAAGGCCGGUAGGUCCAGGAAGGCCCCUCUCCCCCAGGGCCAGGCCAGGUGGCCCCCGAGGGCCGGGGUCUCCACGAUCUCCCUUUGGUCCACGUUCUCCAGAAAAGCCGAUGGGGCCCUGGAGGAGCAGAACAGUACAUGCUGGUGGUCACCGACACCGUCCACAGAACAGCCCCUCCCCGCUUGAGUACCCAGCACACACCUCCUUGCCUGGGGGGCCCCGCUCGCCUGGGUCCCCCUUGGGGCCGCGACGCCGUUCAGGCGUGGGCAGGAAGCCACCAGAGCUUUCUUCCCAGGUCUCCACGAUCUCCCGCAGGGCAGAUGUCUGGGUGACAUGCAGGGUCAGAAGAGGAAGGCCAAGGCUGCAGCCACCCAUGCCCUGGCCAGCCCUGGGGGCAUUACGUGUCCCGUGGGGCUCCCCGCGGCCCCUGUGUCCAGCCCCCAUCAACCUACCUUGA
rnacentral:lncRNA from 1 species